GCCGGGCGCGGUGGCGCGCGCCUGUAGUCCCAGCUACUCGGGAGGCUGAGGCAGGAGGAUCGCUUGAGCCCAGGAGUUCUGGGCUGCAGUGCGCUAUGCCGAUCGGGUGCAAUAUGGUGACCUCCCGGGAGCGGGGGACCACCAGGUUGCCUAAGGAGGGGUGAACCGGCCCAGGUCGGAAACGGAGCAGGUCAAAACUCCCGUGCUGAUCAGUAGUGGGAUCGCGCCUGUGAAUAGCCACUGCACUCCAGCCUGGGCAACAUAGCGAGACCCCGUCUCUU
rnacentral:SRP_RNA from 1 species